rnacentral:rRNA from 1 species
UACGGGGGGGGCAAGCGUUGUUCGGAAUUACUGGGCGUAAAGGGCUCGUAGGCGGCCAACUAAGUCAGACGUGAAAUCCCUCGGCUUAACCGGGGAACUGCGUCUGAUACUGGAUGGCUUGAAUCCGGGAGAGGGAUGCGGAAUUCCAGGUGUAGCGGUGAAAUGCGUAGAUAUCUGGAGGAACACCGGUGGCGAAGGCGGCAUCCUGGACUACUACUGACGCUGAGGAGCGAAAGCCAGGGGAGCAAACGGG